rnacentral:misc_RNA from 1 species
CUUGGUCAUUUAGAGGAAGUAAAAGUCGUAACAAGGUCUCCGUUGGUGAACCAGCGGAGGGAUCAUUACAGAGUUGCAAAACUCCCAAACCAUUGUGAACGUUACCUAAACCGUUGCUUCGGCGGGCGGCCCGGGUCCUUCCCGGCGCCCCUCGGCCCUCGCGGGCGCCCGCCGGAGGAAAACCAAACUAUUGCAUUGUAUGGCCUCUCUGAGUCUUCUGUACUGAAUAAGUCAAAACUUUCAACAACGGAUCUCUUGGUUCUGGCAUCGAUGAAGAACGCAGCGAAAUGCGAUAAGUAAUGUGAAUUGCAGAAUUCAGUGAAUCAUCGAAUCUUUGAACGCACAUUGCGCCCGCCAGUAUUCUGGCGGGCAUGCCUGUUCGAGCGUCAUUUCAACCAUCAAGCCCCGGGCUUGUGUUGGGGACCUGCGGCUGCCGCAGGCCCUGAAAUGCAGUGGCGGGCUCGCUGUCACUCCGAGCGUAGUAGCUACAUCUCGCUCUGGGCGUGCUGCGGGUUCCGGCCGUUAAAAGCCUUAUUUACCCAAGGUUGACCUCGGAUCAGGUAGGAAGACCCGCUGAACUUAAGCAUAUCAAUAAGCGGAGGA